AUUGAACGCUGGCGGCAGGCCUAACACAUGCAAGUCGAGCGAGCGGCGGGCGGGUGAGUAAUGCCUGGGAAUUGCCCAGUCGAGGGGUAUAACAUUUGGAAACGACUGCUAAUACCGCAUACGACGAGAUCGCCCAGGUGUGUUUAGCUAGUUGGUGGGGUAAUGGCUCACCAAGGCGACGACCCCUAGCUGGUAUGAGAGGAUGAUCAGCCACACUGGAACGUAGACACGGUCCAGACUCCUACGGGAGGCAGCAGUGGGGAAUAUUGCACAAUGGGGGAAACCCUGAUGCAGCCAUGCCGCGUGUGUGAAGAAGGCCUUCGGGUUGUAAAGCACUUUCAGCGAGGAGGCGUUACUCGCAGAAGAAGCACCGGCUAACUCCGUGCCAGCCGCCGCGGUAAUAC
rnacentral:rRNA from 1 species